rnacentral:other from 1 species
ACAAUCCUGCUUUGUUCGAUUUGUUGCAUUCCAUUAUUUCCGUCAAAGAACAAAAUAGGGAUUCCUACGCGAGACUGCGGAUUGCAUAUUCACCUUGAAGUGAAGAGCGCGAACCAGUCCGGGGGUUUUACCCACCGUCUACAGAGGCGGGGUUCUAACGGAGUGCAGACGGCAUAGCAGGGUUUUU